rnacentral:rRNA from 1 species
GACGAACGCUGGCGGCGUGCUUAACACAUGCAAGUCGAACGAUGAAGCCGGAGCUUGCUCUGGUGAAUUAGUGGCGAACGGGUGAGUAACACGUGAGAAGCGUGCCCUUGACUCUGGGAUAACUGCGGGAAACUGUAGCUAAUACCGGAUACGACCUUUGGAGGCAUCUCCUGGAGGUGGAAAGAAUUUCGGGCAAGGAUCGUCUCGCGGCCUAUCAGCUAGUUGGGGAGGUAACGGCUCACCAAGGCGACAACGGGUAGCCGGCCUGAGAGGGUGACCGGCCACACUGGGACUGAGACACGGCCCAGACUCCUACGGGAGGCAGCAGUGGGGAAUAUUGCACAAUGGGCGCAAGCCUGAUGCAGCAACGCCGCGUGAGGGACGACGGCCUUCGGGUUGUAAACCUCUUUUAGCAGGGAAGAAGCGAAAGUGACGGUACCUGCAGAAAAAGCACCGGCUAACUACGUGCCAGCAGCCGCGGUAA